CUCUCUCUCUCUCUCUCUCUCCACCGUUUUGCAAUCUCACUCCUUCUCUCUCCCUCUCUCUCUCUAAGUUUUUACCUGUGUUUGUUGUCCGCUAUAUAUUCCUCCAUCUUCAAUCCCUCUCUCUCUCUCUCUCUCUCUCUCUCUCUCUAGGGUUUCGGAUUCUCUUGGUUUCUGCAGAGAUAGGGAGAGAGAGAGAAGUCGCCUGUAGCUCUUCUUUGGUAUAUGCACGGUAGGAUUCGGAUCCAUCCGCCCCGCCCCGCCCGCCCCGCCCCGUCGCCCGAACCGGAUCGCCGCCGCCGCCAUCCGAUCGGCCGGAUCUCCGGCCGUUUCCGUCCCGGGGAGCCGGAGCUCGGCGGUUCCUCGCGCGAGAUCUGCCGUAAUCUGGGUUGGUUUCAUUCGGGAAGUAUCCAUUGAAAGGCCUGGCUUGGGUGAUUUAGAUGGUAUGCACCAGCUGCAUAAGGAGUGUCAUUGUUCAAGCUGCGGACAUAGGGAUAUUCACCCGUGGAAGGCUUCCAUCGCGCAGCUUCGCGAGAGCUUUGCAUUCUGGAUUAGCUCUGAAUCGUCCGUGGAAGUGCAAAGUUAGAACGAGCAGCAAGAUGAUGGUUGACACGGGAGCGAUGGAGAAUCGAGAAGCAGUUGUUGAUAUGAUGAUGGAGAAAGAGGACGAUGGUGGAAUUGCUAGCGGAGGAUGGAAGAGUGAAGACGGAAAACUGAGCUGUGGAUACUCCAGUUUCCGUGGAAAGAGAGUUACCAUGGAGGACUUUUAUGAUAUUAAAACUUCGAAGAUUGAUGGAGAAACAAUCUGCAUGUUUGGAAUAUUCGAUGGUCAUGGUGGUUCUCGUGCUGCUGAGUAUCUGAAGGAGCAUCUGUUUGACAAUCUUAUGAAGCAUCCGCAAUUUAUGACAGACACAAAAUUAGCAAUAAGUGAAACAUAUCAGCAGACUGAUGUGGAGUUUUUAGAAUCUGAAAGAGAUACUUUUCGGGACGACGGUUCUACUGCCUCGACAGCAGUGCUGGUGGGUAGCCAUCUGUAUGUGGCGAACGUGGGAGACUCUCGGACUGUAAUAUCAAAAGCUGGCAAAGCUAUUCCUCUUUCUGAAGAUCAUAAACCAAAUAGAAGUGAUGAAAGAAAGAGAAUUGAAAAUGCUGGAGGUGUUGUUAUGUGGGCAGGCACCUGGCGGGUAGGAGGUGUUUUAGCUAUGUCUCGUGCAUUUGGAAAUCGGAUGUUGAAGCAAUUUGUUGUUGCAGAACCUGAGAUUCAGGAUCAAGAGAUAAAUGAGGAAUUUGAAUUGCUUGUGCUAGCAAGUGAUGGACUGUGGGAUGUGGUCCCUAAUGAGGAUGCCGUUUCACUCGCACGAGGAGAAGAAGAGCCAGAAGCAGCAGCCAGGAAAUUGACAGAGGCUGCCUUUACUCGGGGAAGUGCAGAUAACAUCACUUGUGUCGUGGUAAAGUUCAAUCAUGACCAAAUUGGAUCGAGCCUUGUGGAGGAUCAGCGCCAAAACUCUGAUUAGGGAGUCUCAAGUCAACGAUGCAUGUGUAGAUUUUGUAUAAGAUGAAUGCUCUAUUUGUUUGGUUUGUUCGGGCAGAUGGGCACAAGGUGGUUCUUGUCACGAGGAGGAUCAAUUUGGAUCUGUGUGACCUUAGGGACUAGCAAACUGCCCCCGGUGCAGCAAUAUAUUUAUCCAGCCUUACCUUGCCUUGCCUUGGGCCAUCUCUUGCAGUUCUAGUCUCGCCUCCAACCGUCCAAUGUGGCAUCACAAUUCCGGCUAGCUCGGCUGCCUCAAAUCUCUACUCUUCGUCUAGCCCUUCCUCACAGUUGCAGCCUCGCUAGGCACCUCUGCCCCUCCCUCACGAUCGUAACCUCCCCGUUGGCCAUCACUUCUGCAUACUCUACGAUCAACUCAACUUCUGACUCCUUCCACCACCGCUUCACUCGAUGGCACGGAGCUCAAUGCCUUUGAUCUCCCUCCCAUGCCUGAAAGCCACUGAAUUCGAAGCCUUGGAUAAAAUAGGGCUCGUCGAGGGAGACUCUACGGAACUCACGUUGCAUCAAACUCUUGUCAGCAAGGAGCUCAAUGCCCUUUCGUGCUCCAUUUAGCGAUAGUUGGAGUCGCGAGACAGAGGCAGUAAGAGAAGGAAGGAGAGUUAGAGAGAAAGACGCAGCCGUAGGCGGAGGCGUGGCGGACAUGGAAGCCAGCAACAAAAGUGUCGUUGGCGGCGGCAGCAUUGUUGUUGGCAGCUGUGUUGGCUGAAUUAGGAUCAGAUUUUCCCAAUAAGGAGGGAAGAUUGGGUUCACUUUGGAUUCUUGUCUACUAAAAAGGCUUAGGUUAAAUUCCUUUAACUAGAAAAAAAUUCAGUUCAGAUGUAUGUUACCCCCCAUCCAUAAAUUUUGCCGAUUGAACAAGGCAACCAUAAGAUCUGUCUAUUUUUCAAAUCAACGAGUUAAUGGUAGUGCACAGGUAAUAUUUCUCACCUCA